UGAAGAUUUCUCUCUUGUGGAGUGUGUCCUCCAGGACUAAAUCUUUAGAGGGCUGCAGAUUACAAGAACUCUCCGAGGCAGCAGUUUGUACUGAAAGUCUCCCCCAAAACAACUUACCUGACGUAGAUGCAGAGGGCUAAAUGCAUGGAGUUCAAAUGAUUUCUUACUGAGGACGUCCAAAUUUUGCGUGUUCUAAAGUACUGCAAUUGCUCAUGGCCCAGCUGCUGUCCCAGGUGACCUGAAGUCCCAUGACAGCCAUCUAUAUUCUUCUGUGGAGAGAAGAAUGCAACCUGCACAGGGUUUUUAAAUGCUUCUCAACUACCUCGAUGGCUCGAAUACUUCAA